rnacentral:rRNA from 1 species
UACGGAGGGUGCAAGCGUUGUUCGGAUUUACUGGGCGUAAAGCGCGCGCAGGUGGGUGAACAAGUCGGAAGUGAAAUCCCAGGGCUCAACCCUGGGGCUGCUCCCGAAACUGUACGCCUAGGGACUGGUAGAGGCUGGUAGAAUUCCCGGUGUAGCGGUGGAAUGCGUAGAGAUCGGGAAGAAUACCCGUGGCGAAGGCGGCCAGCUGGGCCAGGUCCGACACUGAGGCGCGAAAGCGUGGGGAGCGAACAGG